rnacentral:rRNA from 1 species
GAUGAACGCUAGCGGCAGGCUUAACACAUGCAAGUCGAGGGGCAGCAUGAGACGGAGAUUCGUCGAAGUCUUGAUGGCGACCGGCGCAAGGGUGCGUAACGCGUGAGCAACUUGCCCGUUUCAGGGGGAUAACCGGUGGAAACGCCGACUAAUACCCCAUAGCAUCAACUUUAGGCAUCUUUAGUUGAUUAAAGAAUUUCGGAAACGGAUAGGCUCGCGUGACAUUAGCUAGAUGGCGGGGUAACGGCCCACCAUGGCGACGAUGUCUAGGGGUUCUGAGAGGAAGGUCCCCCACACUGGAACUGAGACACGGUCCAGACUCCUACGGGAGGCAGCAGUGAGGAAUAUUGGUCAAUGGUCGAAGGACUGAACCAGCCAUGCCGCGUGAAGGUGACGGCCCUAUGGGUCUUAAACUUCUUUUGCAAGGAGCAAUAAGUCCUACGUGUAGGAUGAUGAGAGUACCUUGCGAAUAAGCAUCGGCUAACUCCGU